rnacentral:rRNA from 1 species
UACGGGGGGGGCAAGCGUUGUCCGGAAUUAUUGGGCGUAAAGAGCUCGUAGGCGGUCUGUCGCGUCGGCUGUGAAAACCCGUGGCUCAACUGCGGGCCUGCAGUCGAUACGGGCAGGCUAGAGUUCGGUAGGGGAGACUGGAAUUCCUGGUGUAGCGGUGAAAUGCGCAGAUAUCAGGAGGAACACCGGUGGCGAAGGCGGGUCUCUGGGCCGAUACUGACGCUGAGGAGCGAAAGCGUGGGGAGCAAACAGG